GGAGCGUUAGCUCAGCUGGGAGAGCGUUUGCCUUACAAGCAAAGGGUCACAGGUUCGAUCCCUGUACGCUCCACCA
rnacentral:tRNA from 1 species